rnacentral:rRNA from 1 species
ACUCAAAGGAAUAGACGGGGGCCCGCACAAGCAGUGGAUUAUGUGGUUUAAUUCGAAGCAACGCGAAGAACCUUACCAGGGCUUGACAUCCAAUUAAUGCGGCAGAGAUGCUGCAGUGCCCUUCGGGGAGAAUUGAGACAGGUGGUGCAUGGUUGUCGUCAGCUCGUGUCGUGAGAUGUUGGGUUAAGUCCCGCAACGAGCGCAACCCCUAUUGUUAGUUGCUACGCGAGAGCACUCUAGCGAGACUGCCGUUGACAAAACGGAGGAAGGCGGGGACGACGUCAAAUCAUCAUGCCCCUUAUGUCCUGGGCUACACACGUAAUACAAUGGCGUUCAACAGAGGGAAGCGAGGCCGCGAGGCGGAGCAAAUCCCCAAAAGGCGUCCCAGUUCGGAUCGCAGGCUGCAACCCGCCUGCGUGAAGUCGGAAUUGCUAGUAAUCGCGGAUCAGCAAGCCGCGGUGAAUACGUUCCCGGGCCUUGUACACACCGCCCGU